rnacentral:rRNA from 1 species
GACGAACGCUGGCGGCGUGCUUAACACAUGCAAGUCGAACGGAUAGGGCUGCUUUCCCUUGUGGUUUGCGGGUACACGAGUGGCGAACGGGUGAGUAACCCGUGAGUGAUCUUCCCCUAACUUGGGUAUAAGCCUGGGAAACUGGGUCUAAUUCGCGCUAGGACUGCAGGGUGGUGCCUGUGGUGGAAAACGAUUUUCUAGUGGUUGGGGAUGAGCUCGUGGCCAAUCGGCUUGGUGGUGGGGUAAUGUCCUACGAAGGCUGGGACGGGUAGCCGGCCUGGGAGAGUGGACGGGCACAUUGGGACAGAGACACGGCCCAGACGCCAACGGGAAGCAGCAGACGGGAAGCAUGCGCGGUGAGCGUAAGCCUGAGGGAGCGAGGCCGCGUGGGGGAUGACGGGCUUCGGGUGGUGACCUCCUGGCGACCAAGAGCAAGCCGCCUGGACGGAACGGUGGUGACGGUAGUGGUAGAAGAAGCACCGGCUAACUACGUG